CCCUGUAUCGAAAGUGAUUAUGGUAUGACUGUUGCCAUAUUCAUUGAUAGUACAGGUAUAGUGACUUUUGAAAGCUUUUCCCGUGUUUGUUGGAACACUGUUUCCUGUCAAACCCUGUAUCUUUCAAACA
ensembl:snoRNA SNORA71 Small nucleolar RNA SNORA71